UCUUCCUCUCUCUCUCGAUCUCUCUACACAGGAAGAAAAAACAGAUACUCAAAAUCCUGAAAAAACAAGAUCGAAAAGAAUCUCAUUUCUCUUCUUCUUCUUCUGUUCUUUGUUUUUAUUCUUCUCAAAAUGAGAAAUUUUUAAUAUCAAUUAAGCAGAAAUCUAGGGUUUGAGUCGAAUUGAAGAACGUGAAGAUUCAGAUGACGGUUUGAAUGGAUCUGAAAUUGAAGAUGGGUUUGAUUCAGGUGAGGUUUUCGGUAUUGUGGAUUGUGAAAUGAAGUUGAGGAUUUGAAAUUAGGGUUCUCAUUGUGUUGCUCGUGUGAACAGUGGAUAGAAAUUAGAAGAUUGAAAUGGGUUGAAGGUUGUUGUUGAAGAUGAAUGACUAGAAAACUAGGGGCAAAGAAAAAGUCCAUUUCACCUACGUAUUAGGUAGAAUUUUCGAGAGAAGAGACCCAAUUCAAAAUUCAAAUUGCAAGUUUGCAGUCCAUCUUUGUCUCAAUUUUUUAUCUCUCAGAUCUCGAACUCAGUAACCAGUCUUCUUGCUCUAUAGAGUGAAAAGUGAAAACCCAGUUUGAUCUCUAAUGGAGAGCUUAUCAGGUGAUAAUAGGUUGUUCGAAUAUUGGUUCUCUGCCAUAACCUCUACUCCAAUUGUUAACCCUAGACUGUGCUAGAAAGAUGUCGGUUCCGAUAGUCAUUUUAUGAUAUAAUAUUUUGGUUGGAGGCAACUAAACUGUCUACCCAUCAAAGUUUCAUAUGUCGGUCACCGGUUCUUAAACAAUGGGGUCUGUUUAUUGUACCCACAAAUACGACAAGGACUUUUGUCGUGCUAUUUUUAAGUACAAAAGUGAUGUUAUUUAAAAAAAAUCUAAAAAGAUUUAUACUCUGUGGUAUGCGAAGUUGGCACUAUUCGUACUGAAGCAUGAGUUAGCUUGCAAGAUGCAGGGGCUUAUCAUUUACUUCUUCUUUUUCGUUUGGUUUAUUUUCUUUUGGAGUUCUUCGUUAGUUUGAUCUUGGUAUGACUCCUUUCUCUUUUGCAGCCACAACAAGAAGUGGUGCUAUCAACAGGGCCAAAAGAGGAAGGACUUGAUAUGAAGGGCCACCAAGACCAGUUCCAUCUCGAAAAGUGGAGCAGCUGAAGUUAGAGGAGACUCAACACCUACUAAAAUGAAUGACUUACUAAAAGAGUACAAUGUGGAUAUGAAGGGCCCCUUCAAUUAUUCAGCUUGAGAAGAAGCUGGACUCCCUCGUCAUUGGUACGAUGAUUGCAAAGAGUUGCUGGACGAGAGCAAGCAACUUUUAGAGGUUCAUGAUAGGCUUGCGUGCAUCAUAUCUAUGGAGAAUGAGAAUUCAAGUAUGAAUAGUUAACCGUAUUGAAUACAGUCCUUGUGUCAAAUCCCUUGAGCCUCCUCUAAGUUAUGAUGAAAAGGCUUCGAGGGACAAGAUUUUGCACAAGUUGAAGCUUCAGCACCCGCAACUCUACCACCUACAGUUCAGACAGUUCACGGUUGAUGAAAAAGCUUCGAGGGACAAGAUUUUGCACAAGUUGAAGCUUCAGCACCUGCAACUCUACCACCUACAGUUCAGACAGUUCACGGUUGAUACGUUAAAAGUUCCUGGUAGCCCUUCUUUUCUAUAAGUUUCACUAUAUGUUAUAGACUUAUAGUAUGUAAACAUCUAUCAAGUGAACCUUCCAUGUAUUCCCUUAGAAAUUUGAUACUCAACAAAAAAAAAAGUUUGGUACUUAGAGAAAUUUCAGUUUUUUGUUAUAUGAAUCUGAUAUGAAUUGAAUGAAUGUGAUAUGAAUAGAUUGAAGAAAUUGUUGUUGAGUGUGGAUGAUGAAUGUA